GCCGCUCCCAUUGGCUCCCAGGGCCGCCACUCACGGUCCGCCCCGCCCCCCCCCGCGCCGCCGCCUGGGCCCGCCCCGCUCCUCGCGGCUCGGCUCUAAUUCUCUAUAGGCGAAGCCGGCCCGCUACGCGCCGCUUCUAUUGGAAGGUGUGAACGUCGGUCAAACCAUCGGCGCCUCUGACUGGCCUGAUUUUAGAAAGCCAGCGGCCGCCCUCUCCGCCCGCGGGCUGUGAUUGGCUUCGCGGGGAUGUCACUCUCUCCAGCAGCCGGGCGCCGAUUGGUCGCCGCCAGGGCGCCCGCCCCGCAGGCAGCAGGCCUGUGCCGCGGGAAAGCGCCCGCCCCGCAGCCUGUCCCAGGCCGGUCUCGGCUGCUCAUCCUGGGAAGCAGCGAGGGAAAGGCGUUUUCCCAGGAGUGCUCCAGUCCCUGCCAUGGCCCUGGGACGCCUCGCCCCGACACAGGGCGCUGUGGGACCUCUGUGCUGAGGGCUGAGACCCCCUCAGACAGAGCCAGCAGGUGUUUGUAGAGCAAAGGCUCAUUUGCAAGUGCUGGGUUUGCAGCCGAGUCCGAACCGAGGAGACCACGGGAAUUCUCAGCCCCAAGACCCGCUUGUUGGUUGCUGGUUCCUCCGGAAGGGAAGUUGGCUGUGUCAGGCUCCAUCCUUUCCCAUGGAAAAGGCCAAGACCUUCCUCAGUUGUUAUACCAUUAGUAUGUUUAUAGAGCUUUUCACCAUCCUUAACACCUCUUUGUUUUUCGGGGUGUUUUUGGUUUGCUGGUUUUUUUGGUUCUGACAAAAUUCUCCACCUGACCUACCUUUCUGCUUUCUGAAUGCUGCUUUUUUAUUUCAGGUCAAAUAAAACUCAUGCUUUAUCCAAA